UCCUGACCUCGAUUCAACGUGAUUACCCGCUGAACUUAAGCAUAUCACUACG
rnacentral:rRNA from 1 species